rnacentral:lncRNA from 1 species
UGGAGAUUAAAGCAAUUUAAGCAAGGUACUGGCUGUGGUUGGGAGCUGAAACUGCUCUUGAAGGAAACAAGGGGAGGAGAUGAAGAAAGUGGGUCAGAAAUGAAAUGGCGCGAGCCCGUGUAGUAGAGGUGACGAUGUUGUGAUUUAAGUUCCAUCAGGACCUCAAAUCUCUUUGUAAGUGGCAUAUUGCGUACUUCAAGGAAAAAUAUCUGAACCCCAUGAUUUAACAACAGAGAGAAAGGAAAAAUCUUCAGGAGGUAACAAUGUAUCAAGUCCACUCUUCUUCCCAGCUGAAAGAAUGAUUGUAACCCUGAAAAUGGCCAGAAUGCCUAGGCUUGCAAAGAAGGAUUUUCCAAGAGUCCC